rnacentral:rRNA from 1 species
AUGGUGGAAGGCUCGGCGAGCGAUAUCACGAACCUCAAGUUCCUUUUGUCGUGCUUCCAGCAGAUGUCUGGCCUCAGGAUCAACUUCGACAAGAGUGCGGUGAUGGUCUUGGGCUACUCCCAGGACGAGCGAUAGAGCAUAGCGGAUUGGCUUAACUGCCAGCUCGGGUGCUUCCCCACGACCUAUCUGGGGAUGCCCGUUAGUGACUCCAGGCUCACGGUGGCCGAGCUGCGCCCGACGGUGGGGAAGCUUCAGCACCGUAUCGAGCCCUGGCAGGGUCGGUGGCUCUCGAAAGCAACCCGUACAGUGCUCAUUAACUCAUCCCUCAACUGCCCCUUACUCAUCAUGAGCUUCUACAGCCUUCCGAAGACUCUUCAUCACGAGAUUGCCACUGUUCAGGGGUGAUUCUUCUGGGCCGGCGAGGGCGAUAAACAGAAGUACCACAUGGUUCGGUGGUCAGAGAUCUGCAAACCUCGCGGCCAGGGCAGACUCGGGAUCAUGUCCUCUAAACGCAUGAACAUUGCCCACCUGACUCGGUGGCUCUAG